AAACUUCUGUAUCCGUGGUGAGAUUUCGUCAGUGAUCAACGCGCUGUCGAUGACUGAUGCAACUCCACAGACAAGUGAAUCG
rnacentral:pre_miRNA from 1 species